CUUUCUUUUCCUAUGAAGCAGACGUGUCUAACAAUGCUAAAGGACAGCUACGUUCUGGUUCGACCCACAUGAGGCUAAAUGGAAAUGUACUCUCAUUUCCAUCCAACACAUCUCUGGCUCUUCUUUAAAAUGAGCGUGAUGUCAUCCUGUCAGUCAUCUCGCAGUGGAGCGUGACGUUCACGUGAACUCAUCGGCUACCAUCGACGGCGAUCGGCGUCCGAUCCGUUUGAACUGGAAAGGCUGGAGAGCCCAAUCAACAGAACUGUCUGAGGACUUCAGAAGCAAAAUUGUGAGGAACCAUUGUGAGGAACCCAAAGACCUGAAUGUUCCUGUGUCUACAGCGCGCAGUGGCAUCAAUAGGUGUAAAGCCCACAGCACUCUGGCUAACCUCCUUAGAUGUGGCCGGAAAAGAAAAAUUGACGAGAGAUUUCAAGGAAAGAUUGUGUGGAUGGUGGAUAAAGAACUUCGACUAACAUCCGAACAAGUUCAAGCUGUCCCUCAGUCCGAGGGUAAAACAGUCUCAACCCGUAUUAUCCGUCGGCGUCUGAAUGAAAAGGGACUCUAUGGUUGGAUCCCCAGGAAGACCCCACUUCUGACCCAGAGACAUAAAAUAGCCAGGCUGGAGUUUGCCAAAAAUGUUUUGAAAGAAAGUUCUCUGGUCAGAUGAGACAAAAGUAGAGCUUUUUGGGAAAAAGGGCAUCCACAGAGUUUACAGGAAAAAAAAAAACAAGGCCUUCAAAGAAAAGAACUCUAUCCCCACAGUCAAACAUGUCUGAGGUUUCCUGAUGUUUUGGGGUUGCUUUGCUUGCUCUGGCACUGGACUGCUUGACCCCAUGCAUGGCAUUAUGAAGUCUGAAGACUACAGACAAAUUUUGCAGCAUAAUUUGAGAAAACAUACUAUACCAAUUUUCCAGAAAUUGCAUUUUCAAACAGGAAGUUACCCAAUAUAAACAGGAAGUUACCCAAUACGAUCUGGAAGUGACCUGGAAAACCUCCAUAUCAACACAAAGCGACCCCAAAAUGCCACAAAUUCAACAGGAAAUGACCCGGAAAUGCCCCCAUACAAACAGGCAGUUACUCAAUAUAAACAGGAAGUUACCCAAUAUGAACAGCAAGUGUACUGGAAAGGCCUCCAUAUCAGAACAAUGUGACCCCAAAAUGUCCUAAAAUCAACAGGAAGUGAACCAAUAUACCAAUUUUCCAAAAAUUGCAUUUUCAAACAGGAAGUUACCCAAUAUAAACAGGAAGUUGGCCAAUAUGAACCGGAGGUGACCUGGAAAAGCCUCCAUAUCAACACAAAGUGACCCCAAAAUGCCACAAAAUCAACAGGAAAUGACCCGGAAAUGCCCCUAUACAAACAGGCAGUGACUCAAUAUAAACAGGAAGUUACCCAAUAUGAACAGGAAGUGUCCUGGAAAGGCCUCCAUAUCAGAACAAUGUGACCCCAAAAUGUCCUAAAAUCAACAGGAAGUGAACCAAUAUACCAAUUUUCCAAAAAUUGCAUUUUCAAACAGGAAGUUACCCAAUAUAAACAGGAAGUUGGUCAAUAUGAACAGGAAGUGACCUGGACAAGCCUCCAUAUCAACACAAAGUGACCCCAAAAUGCCACUAAAUCAACAGGAAAUGACCCGGAAAUGCCCCUAUACAAACAGGCAGUGACUCAAUAUAAACAGGAAGUUACCCAAUAUGAACAGGAAGUGUCCUGGAAAGGCCUCCAUAUCAGAACAAUGUGAGCCCAAAAUGUCCUAAAAUCAACAGGAAGUGAACCAAUAUACCAAUUUUCCAAAAAUUGCAUUUUCAAACAUGAAGUUACCCAAUAUAAACAGGAAGUUAGCCAACAUGAACAGGAAGUGACCUAGGAAAGCCUACAUAUUAACACAAUGUGACCCCCAAAUGCCACGAAAUCAACAGGAAAUGACCCCAUACAAAUAAUAAGUUACCCAAAAUGACCAAAAUUCAACAGCAAGUGGCACCAAAUCAAACGGAAGUCACCUGGAAAUAUCCCAAAAUCAACAGGAAAUUAUCCAAAAUAUACAAAAAGUAACCCCGUAAUGCCUCAAAAUGUACAGGAAGUGACCCAUACCAAUAUACCAAUUUUUCCAGAAAUUGCAUUUUCAAACAGGAAGUUACCCAAUAUAUAAACAGGAAGUGUCCUGGAAAUGCCUCCAUAUCAAAACAAUGUGACCCCAAAAUGUCCUAAAAUCAACAGGAAGUGAACCAAUAUACCAAUUUUCCAGAAAUUGCAUUUUCAAACCGGAAGUUAUCCAAUAUGAACAGGAAGUGACCUGGACAAGCCUCUAUAUCAACACAGUGUGACCCCAAAAUGCCACAAAAUCAACAGGAAAUGACCCCAUACAAAUAGGAAGUUACCCAAAAUGGCCCAAAUUCAACAGGAAGUUGCCUGGAAAUUUCCCAAAAUCAACAGGAAAUAUACAAAAAGUUACCCCGUAAUCCCUCAAAAUGGACAUUAAGUGACCCCUAUCGAUAUACCAAUUUUUCCAAAGAUUGCAUUUUCAAACAGGAAGUUACCCAAUAUGAACAGGAAGUGACCUGGAAAAGCCUCCAUAUCAACACAAAGUGACCUCAGAAUGUCGUAAAUCAACAGGAACUGAACCAAUAUACCAACUUUCCAGAAAUUGCAUUUUCAAACAGGAAGUUACCCAAUAUAAACAGGAAGUUAGCCAAUAUGAACAGGAAGUGACCUGGAAAAGCCUCCAUAUCAACACAAAGUGACCCCAAAAGGCCUUAAAACCAACAAAAAGAGACCCCAAAAUGCCACAAAAUCAACAGGAAAUGACCCCAUACAAAUAGGAAGUUGCCAAAAAUGCCCCAAAUUCAACAGGAAGUGGCACCAAAUCAACUGGAAGUCACUUGGAAAUUUCCCAAAAUCAAAAAGUAACCCCGUAAUGCCUCAAAAUGUACAGGAAGUGAUCCAUACCACUAUACCAAUUUUUACAGAAAUUGCAUUUUCAAACAGGAAGUUACCCAAUAUAAACAGGAAGUGUCCUGGAAAUGCCUCCAUAUGAAAACAAUGUGACCCCAAAAUGUCCUAAUAUCAACAGGAAGUGAACCAAUAUACCAAUUUUCCAGAAAUUGCAUUUUCAAACAGGAAGUUACCCAACAUAAACAGGAAGUUAGCCAACAUGAAAAGGUAGUAACCUGGAAAGCCUACAUGUUAACACAAUGUGACCCCAAAAUGCCACGAAAUAAACAGGAAAUGACCCCAUACAAAUAAGAAGUUACCCAAAAUGCCCCAAAUUCAACAGGAAGUGUCACCAAAUCAACUAGAAGUCACCUGGAAAUUUCCCAAAAUCAACAAAAAAUUAUCCAAAAUAUACAAAAAGUUACCCUGUAAUGCCUCAAAAUGUACAGGAAGUGACCCAUACCAAUAUACCAUUUUUCCCAGAAAUUGCAUUUUGAAACAGGAAGUUACCCAAUAUAAACAGGAAGUUAGCCAAUAUGAACAGGAAGUGACCUGGAAAAGCCUCCGUAUCAACACAAAUUGACCCCCAAAAGGCCACAAAAUCAACAGGAAAUGACCCGGAAAUACCUCCAUACAAACAAGCAGUUACCCAAUAUAAACAGGAAGUUACCCAAUAUGAACAGGAAGUGUCCUGGAAAUGCCUCCAUUAAAAAAAAAAAAAAAAAAAAAAUGUGACCCAAAAUGUCCUAAAAUCAACAGGAAGUGAACCAAUUUUCCAGAAAUUGCAUUUUCAAACAGGAAGUUACCCAAUAUUAACAGGAAGUUGGCCAAUAUGAACAGGAAGUGACCUGGAAAAGCCUUCAUAUCAACAUAAAGUGACCCCAAAAUACCACAAAAUCAACAGGAAAUGACCCGGAAAUGCCCCCAUACAAACAGGCAGUUACCCAAUAUAAACAGGAAGUUACCCAAUAUGAACAGGAAAUGUCCUGGAAAGGCCUCCAUAUCAACACAAAGUGACCUCAAAACGUCCUAAAAUCAACAGGAAUUGAACCAAUAUACCAACUUUCCAGAAAUUGCAUUUUCAAACAGGAAGUUACCCAAUAUCAACAGGAAGUUACCCAAUAUCAACAGGAAGUGACCUGGAAAAGCCUCCAUAUCAACACAAUCAAAAGGCCUUAAAACCAACAAAAAGACACCCCAAAAUGCCACAAAAUCAACAUGAAAUGACCCGGAAAUGCCACCAGACAAACAGACAAUUACCCAAUAUAAACAGGAAGUGACCCCGAAAGGCCUCAAAGUCAACAGGAAGUUACCCAUUAUACCGUUUUCCCCAGAAAUCGCAUUUUCUAGUUUGCAUUAUUUUCAGACCGACUUUACCGAUCGGGAUGUAAACAGCCGUGCACGGUACGCGAAUCCUAUCCCCUGUUUUUGUCAGAGAACAAGCCAAAGCUCUCACCGCGACUGGCGACCAUAAAGAGGAGACGUCAAAUUUGAAAUGUUGGCGUCAGCGCAACAGCGGCGCCGCGGUCCUCGAGCGAAUUUCCCCCCUCGCGGCUGAAGAAUGCGAGAAAAGGUUAGCAGUCAGCUGAUCGUCGCCUCCACCAGCUGGCUGCUUCCCCUCCCACUGUGACGACAGCUGAUCGAUGCAGGACGGACCGACGACGUCACCACCGCUGAUUGGCCACGGGAAAAGGCGCCAAGCUUCUUAAACCUGCCGCUGUCAACGUUCUAGGAGGUCGCAUUUGACAGUAUUCUGCCGCGGUCCUCCUCGCCAGCUAUUUGCUCGCCAUUCACUCUCGUUUGCAUUUGAUCGCUACUUUGAUACACUCCCGCUUUUUCGGUGAGAUCUUUUGUGUUUAUUCGUUAUUGGAUCGUUUUUGUUCACCACUGUAAAUAAGAGCACUGAAGCAAGUAAGGGUAAGUCGCCAUUUCUGUUCAACCCGUUUUCUCCUGUUUUGUAUAGAGUAGGAAGUUAGGUUAGACGCUGUCUUUUCUUUGUUCCUUUUACAUGAUCAGGGUUUAGUUAGUGGGUGGGGUUAAAGUGUAGCUCCGUUUGUCUGUUGUUUUGGCCUGGGCUUACCCUGAAGUUACGCUUCGUCGGCAUUCUGUAUAUAUUCAUUGCGAGUUUGAAUGUUGUGUAAAUAAAUUUGUGUCCACUCGUACAUUUGUGUGGCUUGUU